rnacentral:rRNA from 1 species
UUAAGACAUAUAAAUAUUCCGGACUAAUAAUAUCAACUGAUAAAAAUCCAAAGAAAUUGGCGGUGUCUCAUAUACCCAGGGGAACCUGUUUCUUAAUUCGAUAAUCCACGAAAAUAUUUCCACUUUUUGAAAUAUCAGCCUGUGUACUGCUGUCGUCAGUAAACCUUUAAAAGAAAGUUUACAAUAAUAACUUAUAUUAUUUACGUCAAGUCAAAGUGCAGCCAAUAAAAUGGAGAAUAAUGGGUUACAAUCUCUGAAAUAGAAACUGUAUAAAUAAAUAAAAAUUUUAGAUCGGUGGACUUGGAAGUAAUAAUUAUAUAUAAUUAAUAUAAAUAAUUUAUCUGAGACAUGCACACAUCGCCCGUCGCUCUCAUUCAAUAUG